rnacentral:rRNA from 1 species
UGGGGAAUAUUGCGCAAUGGGCGAAAGCCUGACGCAGCGACGCCUCGUGAGGGAUGAAGGUCUUCGGAUCGUAAACCUCUGUCAAGAGGGAAGAAACCUUUGGAUUCGAAUAGGGUCCUUAGCUGACGGUACCUCUAAAGGAAGCACCGGCUAACUCCGUGCCAGCAGCCGCGGUAAUACGGAGGGUGCAAGCGUUAAUCGGAAUCACUGGGCGUAAAGCGCUCGUAGGCUGUUUGGUAAGUCAGAUGUGAAAGCCCUCGGCUUAACCGGGGAACUGCAUUUGAUACUGCCAGACUUGAGUGUCGGAGAGGGUGGCGGAAUUCCGGGUGUAGGAGUGAAAUCCGUAGAUAUCCGGAGGAACACCAGUGGCGAAGGCGGCCACCUGGACGACAACUGACGCUGAGGAGCGAAAGCGUGGGGAGCAAACA